GGACAAACGGCUAUUGGUGAAGUAAGGAUAAUUGCUAAUUAUCUGGGUUGUACCCGUGGGAGUUCGAAUCUCCUUUUGUCCU
rnacentral:tRNA from 1 species